GUCUAUGGCCAUACCACCCUGAAUGCGCCCAGAUCUCGUCUGAUCUCGGAAGCUAAGCAGGGUUGGGCCUGGUUACUACCUGGAAAGGAGAAAGUUACUGUAACUU
ensembl:rRNA 5S_rRNA 5S ribosomal RNA